rnacentral:rRNA from 1 species
AACGCUGGCGGCAUGCCUUACACAUGCAAGGUCGAACGGCAGCACGGGAGCAAUCCUGGUGGCGAGUGGCGAACGGGUGAGUAAUAUAUCGGAACGUGCCAGUCGUGGGGGAUAACGUAGCGAAAGCUACGCUAAUACCGCAUACGAUCUAUGGAUGAAAGCGGGGGAUCGCAAGACCUCGCGCGAUUGGAGCGGCCGAUAUCAGAUUAGGUAGUUGGUGAGGUAAAGGCUCACCAAGCCGACGAUCUGUAGCUGGUCUGAGAGGACGACCAGCCACACUGGGACUGAGACACGGCCCAGACUCCUACGGGAGGCAGCAGUGGGGAAUUUUGGACAAUGGGCGCAAGCCUGAUCCAGCAAUGCCGCGUGCAGGAUGAAGGCCUUCGGGUUGUAAACUGCUUUUGUACGGAACGAAACGGUGAGCUCUAAUACAGUUUGCUAAUGACGGUACCGUAAGAAUAAGCACCGGCUAACUACGUG